AAUGUGUUUUUCACACUUUGGUGAUUACUUUUGAGAUUUUAAAGCUGUUUUAUCUCCCAUCUUAAAUGUUGAGUGUGUCAUUGUGUGACAGUACUUUGUGAACUGCAAACUGCUAUACAAACGUGCAAGGUUAUCGUUACUCUGUUUAUUAUUUCCGUCCCUUUAUUCUGCCUCUGUACUACAGUACCUUCAUUCAUCCAGCAGAAAGGAUUUAGGAAGUCAAUGUGUUCAGCAUAUGACUCAGCAGAAUGCUUUCUGGAAGGACCCUUAUGAAACAAGGCUGUUUUCACUGGACAGCAUACUCCUCUGUACAAGAUUUGUGGUGGAUUACAUAAUAUCUGAGUAAUUUAAUGGACUGCAUAAAGGAGAAAUAUAACAGGCUUUUGACUAUUUAUGCAUAUAUAUAUAUAUAUAUAUAUACACAUAAAUAUAUAUGUUAAAAAACAAGUAAAAGAAAAGCAAAGCCAUGCUGAACUGCAAUCAGCGUGGUAAUCAUUGCCAUCUUCAAUUGAGGGAACAAUUUUGACUCUGAUCUAACCUGUUUUCCAAACACUGUGUUCUAUAUCCCAUCUUUAGCUUGGCAUUUACUGCUGGGAUUACCGUAGGCAACCAG